UAAGGAAAGUAACUAAGGGCGUAUGGCGGAUGCCUAGGCUCACGGAGGCGAUGAAGGACGUGAUAAGCUGCGAUAAGCUACGGUAAGGUGCAAAUAACCUUUGACCCGUGGAUUUCCGAAUGGGACAACCCACCUAUCUGUUGGAUAGGUAUCACUAAUCAUUUAGUGAGGCGAACCGAGGGAACUGAAACAUCUUAGUACCUCGAGGAAAAGAAAAUAAAAGAAUGAUUCCCCCAGUAGUGGCGAGCGACCGGGGACUAGCCCAAACCACCGUUGUGGUAACGCAAAGAUGGUGUUGUAGGACUGCGUGAUUGUACUUUAAUUGUGAGAGGAACGUUCUGGAAAGUACGGCCAUAGCGGGUGACAGCCCCUUAUUCGAAGCAAGAUAAGACAUAGCAGAAUCCUGAGUAGUGCGGGGCACGAGUAAUCCCGCAUGAAUCCGCCGGGCCCAUCCGGUAAGGCUAAAUACUCCCGUGAGACCGAUAGUGAACCAGUACCGUGAGGGAAAGGUGAAAAGAACCCCGAUAAGGGGAGUGCAAUAGUUCCUGAAACCAUACGCCUACAAGCUGUCGGAGCUGCUUUUGCAGUGACGGCGUGCCUUUUGCAUAAUGAACCUACGAGUUACCAUGUCUGGCAAGGCUAAGCGUCAUGAGACGCGUAUCCGCAGUGAAAGCGAGCCUGAAUAGGGCGUCAUAAGUCAGAUGGGGUAGACGCGAAACCAAGUGAUCUACACAUGUCCAGGAUGAAGUUCCGGUAACACGGAAUGGAGGUCCGCACGGAUAAGCGUUGAAAAGCUUCCCGAUGAGGUGUGUGUAGGAGUGAAAGGCCAAUCAAACUUGGAGAUAGCUCGUACUCCCCGAAAGGCAUUUAGGUGCCGCGUGUAUCGAUCCCCGUAAGAGGUAGAGCGACCGAUAGGUCAAGAGGGCUUCACCGCCUAUUGAGACCUGACGAACUCCGAAUGCUUAUGGGUAGCAGAUACGCAGUAAGGGGGCGGGUGCUAAGGUCCGUCCCCGAGAGGAGAAGAAUCCAGACCGCCGUCUAAGGUCCCGAAUUUUGCUCUAAGUUAGUCUAACGAAGUGUGGUCCCGGUGACAGCCAGGAUGUUGGCUUGGAAGCAGCCAUUCAUUCAAAGAGUGCGUAACAGCUCACUGGUCGAGGGUCCGUGCAUGGAUAAUAAUCGGGUAUAAGAGCAGAACCGAAGACGCGGGAUAGUAAUGAAUAUUAAAAGUAUCGGUAGGGGAGCAUUCCAUGAGCGUAGAAUGUAGGAGGAUAACUUCUGCUGGAGCUUAUGGAAACGCAAAUGUAGGUAUAAGUAACGCUAAGGAGGGUGAGAUUCCCUCCCGCCGUAAGACUAAGGUUUCCCGGGCAAUGCCAAUCAUCCCGGGGUCAGUCGGGUCCUAAGGCUCAGCCGAACGGCGAGGCCGAUGGCAUACACGGUUAAUAUUCCGUGACUUGCAUAGGGAGCGACGUGGUGACGGAGGCGUGACACUGCCGCGGAGAAACGGAAUUCUCCGUUAAAGGAUGUAGAUGUUGAGGGGAGCAGGCAAAUCCACUUCCCGAGUCGAACUCCGAUAGUAUAUCUCUUUCUUCGGAAAGGGAUAAUAGCGCAGGUAAUCAAACUCCCGAGAAAAACCGCUAAGCAUCCAUCUCUAUGGAACCCGUACCGUAAACGGACACACGUAGUCGGGUAGAAUAUACCAAGGCGUUGAGAGACUCGUGGUUAAGGAACUAGGCAAAUUGACCCCGUAACUUCGGGAAAAGGGGUCCUCACGUUGACUCGUGAGGCGCAGAGAAUAGGUCCAGGCAACUGUUUAACAAAAACACAGGGCUGUGCAAACUCGCAAGAUGACGUAUACAGCCUGACACCUGCCCGGUGCCGGAAGGUUAAGAGGAGAGCUCAUCCGUAAGGAGAAGGUUUGAAUUGAAGCCCCGGUAAACGGCGGCCGUAACUAUAACGGUCCUAAGGUAGCGAAAUUCCUUGUCGGGUAAGUUCCGACCUGCACGAAUGGUGUAAUGAUCCGGACACUGUCUCAACCACGAUCUCAGUGAAAUUGUAGUAUCGGUGAAGAUGCCGAUUACCCGCGAUGGGACGAAAAGACCCCGUGAACCUUUACUGCAGCUUAGCAUUGACCUUGGUCAUCGGAUGUGUAGGAUAGGCCGGAGGCUUCGAAGCAUGGGCGCCAGCCUGUGUUGAGCCAUCCUUGAAAUACGGCCCUUCUGCUGUCUGAGGUCUAACCCGCAGAAAGUGGGGACACUGCUUGGUGGGCAGUUUGACUGGGGUGGUCGCCUCCAAAAGCGUAACGGAGGCUUCCAAAGGUACCCUCAGGCCGAUUGGUAACCGGCCUAAUUAGAGUGCAAUGGCAUAAGGGUGCUUGACUGGGAGGCAGACAUGCCGAGCAGGUAGGAAACUAGGGCAUAGUGAUCCGGCGGAUGUGUAUGGAAACUCCGUCGCUCAAAGGAUAAAAGGUACUCCGGGGAUAACAGGCUGAUCCCCCCCAAGAGCUCAUAUCGACGGGGUGGUUUGGCACCUCGAUGUCGGCUCGUCACAUCCCGGGGCUGGAGAAGGUCCCAAGGGUUGGGCUGUUCGCCCAUUAAAGUGGCACGCGAGCUGGGUUCAGAACGUCGUGAGACAGUUCGGUCUCUAUCUAUCGUGGGCGCAGGAGUUUUGCGUGGUUCUGUCACUAGUACGAGAGGACCGUGAUGGACAGACCUCCGGUUUACCGGCUGUACCGCCAGGUGCACCGCCGGGUAUCUGAGUCUGGUCGGGAUAAGCGCUGAAAGCAUCUAAGUGCGAAGCCCUCCGCAAGAUAAGAACUCCACAUAAGGGUCGUCAUAGACGAUGACGUUGAUAGGGUGCAGGUGUAAAGACGGCGACGUCAAAGCCGAGCACUACUAAUUGCCCGAAAACUUUCCAGC
rnacentral:rRNA from 1 species